UUCUUCACAUUUUUCCCUUGAUAAUAGAGUAUAGUUUUAAAUCUAGAUCUAGAUCUUAUCUUCUGUAUUGUCCAGUCCAGUCUAUUAUAAUCUAGAUCUAUGUCUAUGAUCUAUAUAGAUUAGAUUUAAAUAAAACUUUAUUUUUUAAAAGGUCUUUUUUGAGAUUUCUUAGGAGAAAAAAUGGCGAACGACGUGGGAGAUUCAGAUCUCGAUUUUCUAGCUCUUGAUCUUAUUAUUAAAUUUUGCAAAGAAGAGUAUAAAAUUUCUGGCUUUUCCAGCACAGACACAGUUAAAGAUCUGAAGGAUGCAAUUUAUAAAAACACUGGUAUUCAACCCAGUCGACAAAAAUUGCUUGGGCUAAAAAUAAAGCCUAGUGAUUUGACAGAUGACACACCACUUAGUGCAUUGAAACUAAGGUCUAAUAUGAAAAUUAUUUUGAUGGGUACAAAAGAAAAGGAAAUCG
rnacentral:sRNA from 1 species